rnacentral:rRNA from 1 species
GAUGAACGCUGGCGGCGUGCCUAAUACAUGCAAGUCGAGCGAACAGAUGAGGAGCUUGCUCCUCUGACGUUAGCGGCGGACGGGUGAGUAACACGUGGCUAACCUACCUAUAAGACUGGGAUAACUUCGGGAAACCGGAGCUAAUACCGGAUAAUAUAUUGAACCGCAUGGUUCAAUAGUGAAAGACGGUUUUGCUGUCACUUAUAGAUGGAUCCGCGCCGCAUUAGCUAGUUGGUAAGGUAACGGCUUACCAAGGCAACGAUGCGUAGCCGACCUGAGAGGGUGAUCGGCCACACUGGAACUGAGACACGGUCCAGACUCCUACGGGAGGCAGCAGUAGGGAAUCUUCCGCAAUGGGCGAAAGCCUGACGGAGCAACGCCGCGUGAGUGAUGAAGGUCUUCGGAUCGUAAAACUCUGUUAGUAGGGAAGAACAAAUGUGUAAGUAACUAUGCACGUCUUGACGGUACCUAAUCAGAAAGCCACGGCUAACUACGUG